rnacentral:tRNA from 1 species
AGGCAAGAAGCAUUGUUGGUGUUUAUAGUUUCGGCCUAUAAGGAGGAGGGGUCCCUUGCUUU